AGUGAACGCUGGCGGUAGGCCUAACACAUGCAAGUCGAACGGCAGCACAGUAAGAGCUUGCUCUUACGGGUGGCGAGUGGCGGACGGGUGAGGAAUAUAUCGGAGUCUACCUUUUCGUGGGGGAUAACGUAGGGACACUUACGCUAAUACCGCAUACGACCUACGGGUGAAAGCAGGGGAUCUUCGGCCCUUGCGCGAUUGAAUGAGCCGAUGUCGGAUUAGCUAGUUGGCGGGGUAAAGGCCCACCAAGGCGACGAUCCGUAGCUGGUCUGAGAGGAUGAUCAGCCACACUGGAACUGAGACACGGUCCAGACUCCUACGGGAGGCAGCAGUGGGGAAUAUUGGACAAUGGGCGCAAGCCUGAUCCAGCCAUACCGCGUGGGUGAAGAAGGCCUUCGGGUUGUAAAGCCCUUUUGUUUGGAAAGAAAAGCAGCAGGUUAAUACCCCGCUGUUCUGACGGUACCCAAAGAAUAAGCACCGGCUAACUUCGUG
rnacentral:rRNA from 1 species